GUACACUCCUACGGGAGGCAGCAGUGAGGAAUAUUGGACAAUGGGUGGAAGCCUGAUCCAGCCAUCCCGCGUGCAGGAAGACGGCCCUAUGGGUUGUAAACUGCUUUUAUCUGGGGAUAAACCUACUUACGUGUAAGUAGCUGAAGGUACCAGAAGAAUAAGCACCGGCUAACUCCGUGCCAGCAGCCGCGGUAAUACGGAGGGUGCAAGCGUUAUCCGGAUUUAUUGGGUUUAAAGGGUCCGUAGGCGGACUGAUAAGUCAGUGGUGAAAUCCGACAGCUUAACUGUCGAACUGCCAUUGAUACUGUUAGUCUUGAGUAAGGUUGAAGUGGCUGGAAUAAGUAGUGUAGCGGUGAAAUGCAUAGAUAUUACUUAGAACACCAAUUGCGAAGGCAGGUCACUAAGUCUUAACUGACGCUGAUGGACGAAAGCGUGGGGAGCGAACAGGAUUAGAAACCCCUGUAGUCCCAUG
rnacentral:rRNA from 1 species